GAGAAAGAAUGCAUGAACUGCUAAUUCUAUGCCACCAUACAUAAAACUAUGGCUUUCUUA
rnacentral:tRNA from 1 species